UCAGAAGGUGCCUUAGGCAGAGAGACAUCUUCACAGUGUACAGAAAGAUUAUCUCACAACAGGAUCAUCCUGCCUGUGAGAUUUAAGGGAAUAUAAUUUACACACAGUAAAACUCACCCAUUUUAGGUGCAUGCUUCAAAGAGUUUCGACAGUCUUACCAUAAUACUAGAAUCAAAAUCCAAAAGGGCUGUUACCCCUAAAUUCCUUACGUCCUUUUUAUAGUCAAUCAGCUUUUCACACUCUCAACCCUGCAAACACUGAAGUCCUAUCCACUAUGUACCAUCUUCCAGAAUGUCAUAUAAAUAGAAUUGUGCAGCAUACAGCCUGUUGUAUGUGGCUUCUUUUACACUCAUACACUUUUCUGAGUAUAUCACAAACAUGUUCCUUUUUUUUUUUCCUGUGUAGAAGUUCUUCAGUGUUUUUCAAAUUUGUCUUUUGCUUUCAAUUUCUUUUCUGCAUAAACCUUAAAGUUCUCCAUUCACUUAAUUUAUUUCCCCAUGAAAACACUGAGGAUGAUCCCCUGGUAAAGCCAUUGGAGAAGGAAACUCUAACUACAGUGGGGUGUCAGGCUUGAGAAGCACCAUCAUCUUCAUCUGACUGCAUCAGAGCUGGUUCCCACACCCCAAAUGCUGUGCUUAUCUCGUGACCCCAAACACUGGGAUUUUCUAAUCAGAGGAAGAGAGUCAUGCUUGCUUUUUCAUUGUUAUUUUUUUUAAACCCAAAGAAGAAAUUGAUUUCCAAGCUGGGAAAAGAAUGCAGAUGUUCCUUUCCUUAGAAUGGUCUGAUAUCCCCAAAACCCAUCAGAAAUUGAAGACCCAUGUGGCACACUGCAUCUGCACUGCUGCAGUAGACGGCAGCAAGGUCCUAAAGAAAGGAAGCGGGCUGCUGGUGAUACAGGAUGCGUUCCCCAGGUGGAAGAGAAGACACAUCUGUGGUCCAAGUCUUGAAAGUUUAUGGAAAUGCUCUGGGUGGAAGAAAGCUAAGCGUCUCAUAUAGAGCAAGAGCUUUGUGAGAUCCAGAGUCUGGGAGCAAGGUGGACCCUGCUGUGUGUUGUGUUUAGGGGACAGCUGUGUAUGGACACUGAGGUGGAGUGGGAGGUGGAGACAGCUGGCCACAAGGUCAUAGAGCUAGGGUUUGGAAUCUAACUACUACCCAUGUGCUUCGGGAGGAGGAGGAUCACUGCAGUCUGAAAGAUUCCUCCGGCAUUUGAAACGGGACAACCUCUUGAAGACUUGAGACAGUCCUGUGAGAGAUGCUGCACCAGAUACAGAAAGGAUGGAAAGGGGAAUCCACUCCAGAGGUGUGUAGGAUGGCAGGCUGACAUGCACAAGAAAGGUGAAGGAAAGGAGGGUACCAUUGACUUUAUCUGGCUACUCCCAAAACAUUACAGUGCAGGUGUCAUGCUGUCCAUUUUAGAGGUGACAAAGCAGCUCUGCGGAGCUGGUCAGAAAGAAAUCUCAUCAGAGCACCGAGGAACCACCCAGGAACUGCUCAUGCCUGUGAGACCUCGUGAAAUACAUCUUAGUGAGUUAUUGAAAACUAUUUAAAAGACAACACCAAACUGCUCCCUGGAAAGAGUAUCCUGAUCCUCAGAGAAGGCUGGGCAAUACACUCUAGGGACAGAGCAGUACUUAGAAAGUCUCAUUCUCCAUACUCCUCCUCUUUGUCCUUCUUCCUAUCUCGUGGAGGAGCUAUUUGUCUGCAUUGUGAGCAUUUAGGUGCAGUCUGCUGCUGGCUGCCUUUUGUGGCAUAGGCAUGGCCCCCACCCUCAUUUUUAUUAUAUCUGGGCCUUACCACCCCACCUCCUCUUCCUCAAGGCUUCAGAGAUGAAAGGAGGCAGAGAGGAAUUUAUCCUGUUACUCAUAAUGUUGUGGUUGUAAUUUAGAGACGUCGUAACUCAUGUAUAGAAAGGCGACCAUAAUAUUAUGGAAAAGGCAGUCUUUCUGAUUCCAAAGGAAGAAGCACAGAGCUACAUUUCUUUUUUUAAAUUUAUUCAUUUUUA